rnacentral:tRNA from 1 species
AAGUGGCUGAGUGGCUAAAGGCGAUGGACUGUAAAUCCAUUGAUAUUAUUUUCUACGUGGGUUCGAAUCCUUCCUUUCU